AUUGAACGCUGGCGGCAGGCUUAACACAUGCAAGUCGAGCGGGGUGAUGGUGCUUGCACCAUCACUUAGCGGCGGACGGGUGAGUAAUGCUUAGGAAUCUGCCUAUUAGUGGGGGACAACAUCUCGAAAGGGAUGCUAAUACCGCAUACGUCCUACGGGAGAAAGCAGGGGAUCACUUGUGACCUUGCGCUAAUAGAUGAGCCUAAGUCGGAUUAGCUAGUUGGUGGGGUAAAGGCCUACCAAGGCGACGAUCUGUAGCGGGUCUGAGAGGAUGAUCCGCCACACUGGGACUGAGACACGGCCCAGACUCCUACGGGAGGCAGCAGUGGGGAAUAUUGGACAAUGGGGGGAACCCUGAUCCAGCCAUGCCGCGUGUGUGAAGAAGGCCUUAUGGUUGUAAAGCACUUUCAGCGAGGAGGAAGGGAGUUGUGUUAAUAGCACAGCUUUUUGACGUUACUCGCAGAAGAAGCACCGGCUAACUCUGUGCCAGCCGCCGCGGUAACAC
rnacentral:rRNA from 1 species